CAACCGUCUCCACUGUCUUUAGAGCGUUGAGCUCCAGGUUGUUCUGGCUGCACCACGAAUCAAAUGGUCAGACUCCAGCUGGGAGAGUUUGUCCUGCAGCAGAGAUGGGAUGAUGGUGUUGAAGGCAGAGCAGUCCACAAACAGGAUCCUGGUGUAGGUUUCUGGAGAGUCCAGAUGCUGGAGGAUGUAGUGGAGGGCCAUGUUGACAGCAUCGUCCAGACCUGUGGCUCUGUAGGCGAACUGCAGGGCGUGCAGGAGGGGGUCGGUAAGGGACUCCAGGUGGGUCAGGACUAGCCGUUCAAAAGACUUCAUGACUACAGAGGUCAGGUCGACAGGCCUGUAGUCAUUGAGUCCUGUGAUCCUGGGCUUCUUGGGAACAGGGAUGAUGGUGGAGGCCUUGAAGCAGGCUGGUACGUGACAUGUCUCCAGCGAGGUGUUGAAGAUGUCAGUGAACACUGGAGACAGCACAAUGCUUCAGGGUGUGAGGGGAGACGGAGUUCGGACCGGCUGCCUUACAGGGAUUUUGUCUUUUAAAGAGCCGGUUAACGUGUCUCUCCAGAAUAGAGAGGGUCGUUGCUGCAGCAGGUUGGUGGAGCUGUGGGGGAUGGGAUCAGGACAUCGAAUCUGCAGUAGAACUCAUUCAGCUUGUCUGCCAGGCGGAGGUCAUGGAGUGGGGUUUUUUUGGCUUGUAGUUUGUGAGGUGUUUGAGGCCUCUCCAAACCGAAGCAGAGUCACUUGCUGAGAACUGUUGUGGGAGUUUCUCAGAGUACAGUCGUUUAGCAUCUCUCACCGCCUUGCUAAACUUGUAUUUUGACUCUGUGUACAAGUCUUUGUCCCCGCUCCUAAAUGCCUGAUCCUUCUGCAGGCGUAGUGUUCUGAGUUCCGCUGUGAACCAGGCUUUGUCGUUAACUCACCCUGGUGCAUGAUGGUACACAGCUGUCCUCACAGAAGCCGAUGUAAGAAGUUACAGCCUCUGUGAACUCAUCCAGACUGUCAGUAGCAGUCCUGAAAACAUCCCAGUCUGUGCAGUCAAAGCACGCCCGAAGAUCAUCCAGCGCCUCACUGGUCCACUUCUUGAAUUCCCUCACCACAGGUUUGCAGAGCUUUAGUUUCUGCCUGUAUGCAGGAAUCAGAUGGACCAUGACGUGGUCAGAGUGUCCCAGUGCAGCACGAGGGACGGCGCUGAUAAGCCCUUACUGUGGUGUAACAGUGAUCCAGAGUGUUCUCCUCUCUGGUGGGGCAUUUAAUAAACUGUAUGUAUUUAGGAAGUUCAUGGGUGAGAUUACCUUUUGUUAAAGUACCCAAGGACUAUAACUAAAGAGUCCGGGUUGGUCCGCUCCACACGCCGUAUCUGGUCGGCGAGUGUCCGCUGUGCCUCGUGCACGUUGUCCGCCGGCGGCAUGUAAACACAGGAUGAAUGAAGCGAACUCACGGGGGGAAUAAAAGGGUUUGCAGUUGAUGAAGAAAGUUUCCAGAUCAGGAGAACAGUGUUUUAGGAUCACCGUUACGUCGUUGCCCCAACUGUUGUUGAAGUAAAAGCAGAUUCCUCCACCCUUUGUCUUGCCGGAGAGCUCAGUGUCGCGGCCCGCUCGGAACAGCUGGAAGCCCGCCAGGGACAUGGAGCGCGGAGUCCGGUAUCGAUCCGCAGAGCCACGUCUCCAUGAAGCACAAAACGGAGGAUGUAGAAAAGUCUGUCUCUCCUCACCAGCAGCUGAAUUUCGUCCAGUUUGUUGCACAGUGAGCUCACGUUGGAGAGAAAGAUGCCUGGCAGCGGAGUGCGAGAACCACGCUUGCGGAGUCUCACCAGCGACCCGGCCCGUUUUCCUCUCCUACGGCUUCUCACCGCGUGACGAAAGGUGAGCGCACCUUUGACUAGAAUGUCCAGUAAUUCCACGGAAGAUAGCAGGAAAGUUGGAAGUAACUCCGCUGGAGUUCUGGUGAAAGAGCUCCGGGAAUCGCAGCAGGAAACAUAAUUAACAACAAAAAACGAAGCGCACCGAAGCACCGUGGCAGCCAUCAACGCCGCCAUCUUGGAUCAGUUUCCAUAAAAAAUUAAUAAUAAAAAAUAAAAUAAAAUUAAAUUAAGACAGUAGUGCAAUGUUAUUAAUAUUGAAUUAAGACAGUAGUGCAGUGGUUAUUCAAUUAAAAGAGGAUUUGAGGGGUGAUUUGUUGUACAGUCUUAUUGCAGUUGGCAGGAAUAUUUUCCUGUAUCUGUCCUUGUGACUGCAGAGCUGGAUCAUCCUGUUGGAGAGGGUGCUCCCGUCUCCCUGCAGUGAGUGAGUGAGAGGGUGGACCGGGUUAUCCAAUAUUGACAAUAGUUUUCUCAGUGUCCUCCUCUUCACCACCUGUUCAGGAUGCUCUUGUUGGGAGCCAACGAUGCCCUCCAUUGAGAGCAUCCUCACCCAGAGCUCUCAAUGGUUGUGGAGACGUCGUCUUUCUCCUGAAGUCCACCACCAUCUCUUUAGUCAGGUGAUUUCUCCUCCCGUCUGUCUCUUAUACACCCGACCACUGCAGAUUUAUCAGAGAACUUCUGGAACUGGCAUGACACAGAGUUGUACUGGAAGUCAGUGGUGUACAAGGUAAAUAGGAAGGGAGACCGGGAAGUUUCCUGUGUGGCUCCGCUUUCACUGACGACCACAUCAAACACGGCCCUGUCGGACAAACUGUGGUCCGCCGAUGAGGUAGUAAGUGAUCCAGGAGAUGGUAGACAUGUUUUAAUUUGAUUGUUUGAUGAUCAUGGCUGUUAACUGUGGGAAACAUUACUUAAUGCUUGAUGGUGGACAAUGAUGUAAUUCAUCUGUCAGUUUGCUACACAAUAUAAGCUUAUAUUUAAUAACCAGUCCAUGUUAGAUGUAACUGAAAGCUAGCUGUAAUGAGUAACUAACUGGAGCUGCAUGGCAGGGAAGGUAGGACUCAAAUGCAGAGUUUUCAAAACAAAAAAGGACUUUAAUAGUCAAUGUUCAAAAGCAAAAAGGCUAAGGGGCAAAAACGGAGACAGGAACAGGGACUUGGACUUCCAUACAUUCAACAUUGACGCGACAAGUGACAACAGACACACAUGGCUUAAAUACCCUAGGGAGGUGCAGGUGAUUGGAUACAGGUGGAAACAAUCAUGACACGACAGACAAUCACAGGGGAAUGACAGGGCAGGAAGUGACGUGACCCAGGGAGACAUGAUGCAGAACUACAAAAUAAAACAACACGUGAACCCAAACCGUGACACUAACAAGCUCUGUGUUAAGUAUUUGCUAAUCUAUGCUGGUCUCUGGUGUACAACACUGAAAUGAAAUACACCUCAAUUUAAUAACCAAUGUAUUCAGUUACCUACAAGUUAAAGAUAACUUGUAACACAUUUUUAAUGUAAUUAUGACACAGCAAAUUCUCACAUAAGAAAGUAACUCCAUUAAUUUGAUCUGCUUUUUUUAACCGACUUUGUUGUUGUGCCAAGCUAAGCUAAUCAUAUCUUGCUAAUUGUCUGACUGUGAUGUGCAGAGAUAAUUUUGUUCAGAUCUUAAUUGACUGAUAAUAGCUAGUUUGAAAUUAAAUCAUUGACAUCAAUAGAAUUAUUAAUUAUUAAUAAUCGCUAAGAUAAUUCACAAAAUAAAUAAAUAACGGGGCACCACCCUAAAAAGGGACUAAUAACCAAAUUAUAAAUCAAGUCUCACAAUUGAUAUUCACUCAUUAAGAGCUAUGUUUCCAGCCAUCACUACAGUACACGUAUGCAGAGAAACACAGAAAACUGCUCCUUAAAGUAUAACAGGGUUUAUCAACCUUCAACAAUACUAAUCAGAUAAAUACCAUUGGAAAUCAACAAAAGCUAGUAUACGAUAUCCUAAUAUCUAAACAACAAAUAAGUCAUUCAUGCUUGUGAAGGGAGAGGUGUACGCCGUAUGCAGUGACGUGCAGUCAGGGUAAAUUAAAAAAUGUUUAUUACAUCAUUUUAUUUAAUAAACUUGUAUUUGUACUGUUUAUUCUUAGUUAUAUAUGCAAUGUGUGUUAUUCCAAUUGUUUAGAUGUUACGAUGACAAAUGUAGCCAUUACGCAUAAUCAAAUACAAAGAAAUGGUAGAAUACACGGUGAUUUUACCGUCCAUUCAUUGCAAAAAAACAAUAUUAUGUUAUACACUUCGAUCCUGUAUUCUACAACAUGUACGUCAAAUAGCACAACUCUGCUGUGCCUUCGUACACAUUUAUAUAUCUACUUUACAGAUGUGGUGAAAAGUUCACAUACACUUGUAAAGAACAUAAUGUCAUGGCUCUCUUGAGUUUCCAGUUAUUUCUACAACUCAGAUUUUUCUCUGAUAGAGUGAUUGGAACAGAUACUUCUUUGUCAUAAAAAAAGAAGAAGAAAUUUGGUUCUUUUAUGACUUUAUUAACAGAAAGUGACAAAUCUGCUGGGUCAAAAAUAUACAUACAGCAACAUGAAUUAGCAAUUUUGGUGACUUAGAAAGUUGUGUCAAUGAAAUGAGCUUCAUAGCAUGGCCUCUUAACUUCUUGUGAGUGACUAUGAGUGACUACAGCUGGUGACUUCUGAGGCCAUUUAAAUAGGGCUCAUUGGAUACAAACGCUACAAUGGGAAAGUCAAAGGAGCUCAGCAUGGAUGUACAGAGACAUCCUCAAUGAAAACAUGCUCCAAAUCGCUCUGGACCUCAGACUGGGGUGACGGUUCAUCUUCCAACAGGAGAACGACCCGAGGCACACAGCCAUGAUAUCAAAGGAAUGGCUUCGGACAACUCUGCAGAGCCCUGACUUGAACCCGAUUGAACAUCUCUGGAGAGAUCUGAAAAUGGCUGUGCACCAAUUCUCCCCAUUCAACCUGAUGGAACUUGAGAGGUUCUGCAAAGAAGAAUGGGAGAAACUGCCCAGAAAUGGGUGUGCCACGGGUGUGGAAUCCUACCCAAGAAGACUCAAGGCUGUAAUUGCUGCCAAAGGUGCUUCAACUAAGUAUUGAGCAAAGGCUAUGAAUACUUAUGUACAUAUUAUGUUUUCGUUCCUUAAUUUUAACAGAUUUGCAAAAAUUAGCAAAAGACUGUUCACUUUGUUAUUAUGGGUUGUUGUGUGUAGAAUGUUGAGGAAAAUAAUGAAUUUAAUCCUUUUUGGAAUAAGGCUGUAACAUAACAAAAUGUGGAAAAAGUGAAGCGCUGUGAAUACUUUCCGGAUGCACUGUAUUCAUGACAUGUGAUGAGAGUACUAGAAGAUUCAAAAAAUGUUUUGAACACAUCUCUCAGAUAUGGGGACCUGGCUAUUUUUCAAAGAAAUUAAACAACCCAUUUCAACAAAAAUGAAUUCCCAUUUUUGAAAAUAAUUCAGUAAGACAUUCAAAUUAAUAUAGUAUUGUAAGGAGUUCUUUGAACUGCAAACUGACUGUUUUAUAGUAAAAUACAUAGAAGUAUGGGUUAGUUGCAAAAACGAAGCCCUACACCUAAGUAUGAUGUAUUGAACACUAUUAUUGAUAUAUAAGUGAAAUAAGUAGUUUGGUACAUGACAAAAACUAAUUCUGGAGGGCCAACCUAAACGUCUGUACUAAAGAAAUCUCAAAAAAGUGUCCUUCACUUUAUUAGUGAAGGACAUUUUUAUCAAAAUCAACCUUUGCAGAAUGUUAACAUAUUGUACUAUGAUCUGGUAGAGGUUUGGAGCCAUACUAUUUUAAUUCCAAAGGAAUAAUCAUCCUGAAUGUGCUUUUUUUUUUAAGGCGAACUGGUGCAGUGUUCCAAUCUUCAUUUUGUCUUAACCUGCAAACAGAUAUACUGAUAUUUAGACAACCUCACAAGUGUUCCCUUUAUCAUGACAUCUUUUCUCUCAGGGCCAUGUCAUUUUUGAGCAGGAGCCUACAAACUGGCCUGGUUUUUAUGUAGGUAGAUUUUAUGAAUGUAUUUUAUUAUGUAAACAAAUAAAACUUGAGAGGUAAUUUCUUGCAUUGUAAACAAAAAUCAAGUUUGAGUAAAAAUAUAUGAAUUGUUAGUUUUACAUAUGAAACUAGAAAUUUUGGCUGCAAAACAAAACCUUUUGUGGUCCGAGGUUGAACCUAUUGGGCAGGGCUUACGCCGCUGAAUGAACCAGGAGUUUCUAUUGGACGACUGAGCGCUCGGUGUCUGCUUCCACCAUUAAACACCGACAGGAGGUGACUGUGAGGAGCGACAGGGAGGUAAGCUGCUGUGUUGACAUGAAGCCCCACUUUCUACAUGCAUGUAACGUUAGCCCGCAGUGAGCUAACAGUGGUUACACACACACUUGGACAUGUUCUUUUCUUUUUGUACAUAUAGCACAAUAACAAAAAUGCAAUUUAAUGUGAGGUAUUAAUUUGCUAAAUCGCUCUAACCUAAAUGCAUACAUAUUAACAGUAACAUUUUUGUCUAGACUCUACACCAGGGGUCUCAAACUCAAAUCAGGUGCAGGCCAGUUGCGGGCAGACCAUUACGGUUGACGGGGGGAUGGCGGCGCUGACGGUCCAACCGGCGAACAGUAUGGUUGAUGGGAGUACGCCAAAGUCGCUACACCCCGGCGGCGGCCGGAUGUGGCCUGAGGGGCGGAGUUUGAGACCCCCGCUAUACACUAUGUGAAAAAGUGAGGCGAUUGCUAUAAUCAUUCAUAAUGUUUCGGUCCAUCUCAGAUGCUGCAGGCAGAAUAUGAAAAGGAACUUAUCGUAAAUAAAACGUUAAUAAUGUAAAUAGAACGUUAUAUUAAGGUGGUAUAAAAAGCUGUUGUAGAAAAUGAUUCCACUAAAAUAUAACGCACUGGUCACUGCCGGACACACCUGAAGUUAACCGCCAAACCCUAAGGUCAAGCACAUAAGGGCACAGUCCUCUCUGCAUCAGCAGGACUGACAAAUGUAUGUAACCUAAUCUUUCCUCUCAGAUCCGUCUCACAUUGGGUGUCAGUGCAAGGAGGAUGGGCACUUUAAUGUGAUUGGAUACCAUUUUGCUGAGUCAUUGUGGCUAGCAUUGACUGUAGUCCCUGAUAGAGGUUUGGUUAUGCAGUAACCUUGUCAAAUGUUUUGGUCUCUGCUGAGUGAGGUAUUUUUAUGAGCAAUUUUCCAAUUAUACAACAAGUUCACAGUGCUGAAGGAUGCUUUCCACAUUGUAAGAGGACAAUGGAACACAACACUGACACAAUUCUCAGUCAGUGCAACGUAUGUCAGGGUAGUUCAGCUCUGUGUAUCAUCACCAAGCCAUAAGAAGUCAUGUGACUCGACACUGUCUGUGAGUGCCAUGUAGUUUGGCUCAUAAGUACAGACAGCCAGUCCAAUGCAGUCUGUGAGGUAUCUGUCAGUAAGCCGGCUCCUGUACUUUGAUUUGUACUUGCGAAAAUGCCAUUUCAGAGGUACGUUGAUCCAAAGUAGGCACUCACUAAGUGCACAUUCGCUGAGGAGAGGAAACUUCUCUCUGCUUACAAGUCCCUGUCCCAUAACCUGGCUUUCAGCUCUGUCACUUUGCAUAUGAACUCGCUCCAUGUCCUCUCCACCUAGCAAAGAAAAUGCUUUCUGGAAUUUGUCUGCGACUUCCUCUGUGUCACACACAGAAAAAAUAUUCUUUAUAGGUUCUUUAUAAGGCAGUGUGGUUCUACAAAGAAGCAUCACCUUUAAAAUAAUAAUUUUAUCUAUUGGAUGGUUCUACAUGUUUUCAUAUGGUUCUUUGGGAUAUUAACUGGUUCUUAAUUCUUGUUUGAGUUGUUAAAUGGUGGAGAAUGGGAAAAACACCUCUGUGCCAUAAUCGGUGUUAGAUAGUUAGCUGCCAGUUGACACACAAACACACACACACACAUAUACAUUUUGAAGAAUUUACAUUUGCCUGAGCACUUACCUAGCUAACGUUAGGUAAGUUAACUAACUUAACGUUAAUAUCCUUUGUUACGUUGCUGUUAGCUUACUGAAGCUAACCUAGUUAGCUGAUGUUAAAUUGUUAGCCUAAUAGAAAUAUAUAUUUAACAUUGACUGAUUAACAUUUACUGAACUGCUAGGAUACUGCCUGUGGGAUUUAUUUAAGAUAUCAAUCUGAGCUGGUUGGUGGGGUAAGACAGUAAAUUAACGUGUUUUUGCAGCUUGCAAGUGUUGUGUUCAAAAUGAAGAAACGCCGGACGGACGAAGGACAUCACGGAUCGAAAGGUUAAAAUCAAAAGUAUUUAAUAAAUGAGAUGGUGUUGUGGUAAAAAGAACAUCUCAGUUGAGGAGCCGCUGGUCUUUUCAACCAACAGGCCACAGUCCUUUGACCAUCCCCUAUAGUGCCUGUCUGUUGCCUCCAGGUAUUUUUACAGAUCCGUAAAAGGUGUGAAAGUUAAUGUCCACACCUCUGGGAGUGGUCUUCUGGGGGGUAUUCCAGAAAGGAGGUUUUACAAACUCUGAGUCUAUCCCUGAACUCAGAGUUGACUUACUCUGAGACGGGAAACUCUUAAGUGUCCGGUUCCAGAACAGCUGAUCUGCGUUAGUUGAAUCAACUCUAAGUUGUAUGUUCACCUUGAGUUAAGCGCGUGCAUGACGAUUAUAAAAAGCCAUCGCCAAUGGAGCCACAAUUGCACGAGUCACCAUGCCACCAUAAAUAAAAGAGCAAGCUAUAUCACUGCGAUGGAGUUGGAGGUCCUUCUGCAGGCCUACGGUGAGCAUGAGGAUGUAUUUCGCCGCAAAUGCAAUACAGCUGCAGCAGCGAAAGAGAGAAAGACUGCUUGGGGAAAAAUCACUGCCCGAGUCAACGCGUAAGUUUGAAUGUACUGUUCCAUUGACAUAACAUUUAACCGUAGAUCGUCGCAGCCUAUAGUUAUGAAUAUAAGUAGGAAUGAAAUCUGAUUUUCAUUUAGGUGCAAUCCAACGGGGAAAAAAGGACCUUGAAGCAGCUAAAAAUGAAAUUUAAAAAGGUAAUACAAAAAGUUAUGGCAUAUAUUGCAUAUAGGCUAUGAUUGCUCCUCACUUUAAUUUUAAUUAAUUUUUUAAAAUUGACUUCUUAAACAAAGUAAAUAUUAAUUCAGUGGCUACUUGAAAUAGUGAAUUAAACCCCUAAUAAAAUGUUGUUUUUACACGUCUUUUCACUUAAUACCCCACUAUAAAGGUAUAAAAUAAAAAUGCCUCCUAUCGAAGUCAUUUAAAAUGUGAUGCUGUAGCCUACACCAACACUAAUUAAAAUACUAAUUAAAAAACAAAGAAACAUUGAGUUCUGCUCAGUCAACAGAAAGAAGGCAGAGGCCCGAAAAACAGGAGGAGGGCCACCUCCACCAACUCUGACAGAGGUGGAGCUGGCCCUCAGUCUAAACAGUGGUCACCCAGUGGCAGAAGGUAUCCCUGGACACCCCCCAGGACACAAGUGACUACAUCAGAUGCAAGUAUACACUUCUUUAAAAAAAAUAAAACUGAUAUAUACAAUUCAAAAGUUUGGGGUCACCCAGACAAUUUUGUGUUUUCCAUGAAAAGUCACUCAUUUAUUAAAUUAGUUGGAAAAAUCAAUUGAAAAUAUAGUCACGAUUAGAAAUAAUGAAUUUUAUUUGAAAUAUUAAUUUUGUUAUUCAAACUUUUCUUUUUUGCUUUUGUGUGAAAGUCCCCUUCAUCGAGUGCAGGCGCAGUAAUAGGAAUAUGUGUCCCAUCUAUGCAUCCCAUCACAUUUGGAGGCCCUGAAUAAUGACAGCUAAUUAAGCUUCUGAGGUCUCAGCAGAAUGUACAUCAUAAUUAAAAAAUAUAUAAUAUAAAUGACUUCUACAUCAGUCACCUGCAAUCCUGUGGAAUUCCUCUUUGAUGGUUCUAAGAGGUUUGUGUCUGGGAAACACGCGUUUCAGUAAAAGGUGAACUUUCCUCACAGCUCUACAAACUGUUGCCUUGCCAAAGUGCUCUGCAUCCCUGAUGUUAUAAAGAAAACUAUCAUUUGCAAAAAAACGUAGCGCGAUGCACAAGAUUUGCUCUGAUGUGAGUGCACGUCCGCAGUGUGUGAGAUUGGUGAUAUACGGCCGGAGAAUGUUAGUGAGAUAAAUGAUACCUUGUGAGGAAAAGCAGUAGCGUUCUAACAGAAAUUCCUCUGGAAAUGAUAAAACAUCUAAUCUGGGUUGGAAGACACUCUCGCGACUUAAAGCAUUUCGAAUCACGACGUCUUUGAUGUCAAUUGGAUUUUGUAGGAAUUGGCAAUCCAUGUCUACCAGCUUUCUUCAUGUGGGAGGAGACUGGUAGAAACUCCAGGUUUCUUAUAGUAAACCUGCCAGUAACCUUGGUUGGGCUGAAAAUGGCCCAGGUCCAUUUUGAAUAGCCUUUUAAAAAACUUCCAAACUAGCUCCUUUGUAAUUCCCGUGGAAGUACACAAAGCAGCGCACAGCUAAACUAGUCUGAGAUCUGGGGCCAGAACACCAGAGGGCUGGUCUGUAUGUAACUUCAGGUAGGGGGGUGACAAAGGUGAUGGAUCAAUGACAAUGUAUCAAUGAGGUUCACUGUGUGUCCAUUUUACCCACUGAGCUGUUAUUCAGCUAUGACAAGGUAAAAUCGGUUUUGCAAUCAAUGACCCCUUUAAGACUCUUGAUUACUGAUAAGAAGAUGCACGGUAUGUUUCGUUAUAUUGUAUUUUGUGUACAUAUUUUCUUUUUGCAGCAACUACACAGACCUGUAUGCGCCUAUCGUCAUUGAUGACGAAGACGUUCUAACUGUCAAAGAAAAUAAUGAGGCAUCUUCUAAAGAACCAAUGUGAGUCAUGAGUGCUAUAUUAUUAUAGUAUUAUCCAUCAUUCUGUCUUUGUAGAAUGGUCUUGUAUGAGUAGUCAUUAAACUAAUAAACAUCACUGUAUUAAGAAGGGUGAAACGACCGUAUUACUGUAUUUUCCGCACUAUAAGGCGCACUUAAAAGCCUUUAAUUUUCUCAAAAAACGACAGUGCCUUAUAAUCCGGAGCGCCUUAUAUAUGGAUCAAUUGGUUAAUCGGUUGAUCCAUACUGGUUGUCCACGGCGCUCUGCCAAACAUGCCAAAGCUAGUCUACGACGGCGAGAUGCUGAGCGGACGUUCAAGCGCGUGAGAUAUGGAGCUUGCUUCAGGGCGCGUCGGAGAAACAAAGCUGUCUUGCCGAGCACUUCGUGAGAUUAAAGAGCGAGAGACAUGUGACACUUUCUUUUACAGUAACUGAGCCAUCUCAACGUGGAAAAUAAGUUAUUCUAAAAGGAGCCCUUGGCAGGCGGCGUGGCUGGAGAGCAGCUGAAGAUUUAAGGCGUGGAUGGCGAGGUGGGCGGCGGGAGCGGACGCACCUCGCAGCAUCAAUCGGACCCUGAAAGCAGUCUCCACCUCCCCCCCCCGCCCUGACGUUUGACUGCAGUAUCUUAUGCGCCUUAUAAUCCAGUGCACCUUAUAGUGCGGAAAAUACGGUACUGUACUGAGAAAAACUGUUGUUGAAAAACUAGACAUCCAAAGAGAUGUCUUGUUGUAAGGAACUGAAUGUAUUAAAUGUAGCCUAUUUUAUAAACUGCCUACUGUCUAAUAUAUAAUAAAUAAUUUCAACUCCUUUAUCCUCCUUUAUCCAUUAUUUUAUGCACCAGAUCUUGUCGGGUAUUGGACUUUCCUGACUUCAGGCUUUCAAGGGCAGACAUGGAGUCACUGCAAACAAGUACUUUGCCUGUUUUUUUGUUGUUCAACCCACUCUAAGGCCAUAACAAUUGCAUACAAUUCAAAGCAGUACACAGCCAGACAAUUUGAAGUGCGUUUGUAUAUUUCACACUUGAACGAUAGGAUUGCUACAGCAGCUCCUGUUUUGUCCGUAUCUGGGUCUUUAGAUCCAUCAGUAAACGCCUGCACAUGCUCUGCUUAUUUACUGUCCGUGUAUUCAUAGAACUCACUCACAAGUCAGGGUUCUUUCUUCUUGCCUUACUUUGUAGCAACUCCAUGUCCACCUCUGGUUCCUUAAGCAACCACACAGGAGUUAUUGACCAAAUGACAGUAGGAAAAGCUCUAUAUCAGCUACUCCUAAACUUUUUGCUGCUGCUCCUCCUAUUCAUCCAAAACUAGUCUUUGGUCCUUUCCCAGCAUGCCUCUACCACUUUUUUUGCAGGGUGCUCAUCAUUAUGCCUUCUCAGGUUUACCCAAUAAUUAACCAUCAGCUGCUUUCUGCGCACACUGGAGAUGUUCUUGCUGCACCUACACAAAUUCUCAGGGCCCUGGUCUGGAUAACAUCUAGUUGUGCGGUUUCUGAUGCUGACCCAUAUGCUAUACACCCAUAAUCUAGUCUGGACUUAAUUAGUGCUUUGUACAAGUGAAUCAUGGCCACGACCUCUGCUCCCCACGCCGUUCCCACCAGACAUCUUAAUACAUUUAUAACCUUUUUGCACUUAUUACUAACAUUUUUAAUGUGGUCUUUCCAUGUUAAUCUGUUGUCGAAUAGCACUCCCAAAAACCGAAACGACUCUAUUUCUAACUUGUUUCCAUAUAGAUUCACCUUUUCCUCAGUCUUGUAAAGACCAUCACUUUCGUUUUUUUCAGCUUAGAACCUAAAUCCCCAUUCCUUCCCCCAUAAUUCAACUUGUUUUAUCCCUUCUUAUAUUUUUCUUUAAGUUUCUGCCUCUUUUCCAUAAGGCCCCAUCAUCUGCAAAUAGUGACCUUCCCACAUCUGUUGAGACCUUUCCAAAGAUGUUGUUUAAUGCUAUGGAAAAUAAUAAAGGACUUUCCACACUCCCCUGCCGUGUCCCAUUUUCUAUUUCAUAUUUCCUGGACUUUUCCGUUCCUAUUCUGACCUGGAUCAUUCUUUUACUUAACUCCCUUACCCAAUUAAAGACGUUCCCCUUAAUUCCUAUUAUAUGCAUUUUAAUCAAAACACCUACUGCCUGCGCCCUUUUAAAAUUGUAUCAUAUUUUGAUAGUUGAGAGUUCUUUUUACUAACUUAAAUGCCCCGUUUCUCAAUCGAAUUGCCUCUUUACACGUAUUGCUCCACCAUGGCACCAUUUUUCUACUUGUUUUUCCAUUACUUUUUGGGAUAGACUCUAGGACAGCUGCCCUGAUGCCUCCUGUUAUCCUCUCAUUUAGGGAUUCUACAGGCAUAUCAUCAUUAAUCUUCCUCAGGUGCCCUUCGCUAUUUUCCUUAAACCUCUCCCAGUUGGCUUUCCCAAAAACCCAUUUUCCUCCCCGGUCUUCUUUUGUUACUGGCGUAUGAUUAUCCAUUUUACAGAAUAUCGAGUAGUGAUCACUUCCUAUGGUGCCUACAUGAUACGCCUUCCAUUCACACCCUGCCACAAUGUUAUAUGACACUAUAGUGUACUAGACCUCACACUAUAGUGUGAGGUCUAGUACAGACUCCUUUCCUGUGCUGAUAUUUAUCCUUUUAUUACUCCCAUCAUUUAGGCAGACUAAGUUUCUUGCAUCAAGCAGUUCUUCUAUGGUUUGGCCAUUUCCAUUGGUACUUCCACUCCCCCAUAGCGAGUUGUGCGCAUUGAAGUCCCCACACCAUACUAUAUUUGUCCGAUCUUGCCCUUCUAUUGCUUCCAAUUCUCUUAGCUCUAGCUUUAAACAUGGGUUAUAAUAAUUCACUACCACAAAUUCUUUCCUGUUAAUCCACCCUUCAACUACUACAUACUCCAUAUCUUGUCCUACGCCCACUAUUCUAUGGGGAAUACCUUGUUUUAUAAAAGUAACACAGCCCCCCCUUGCCCUUCUUUCCUAUCUCGUCUAAUUGCUACAUACCCAUAUAUUACAAAUUCCAAGCUUGGCUUUAGC
ensembl:lncRNA